rnacentral:lncRNA from 1 species
GAUAGAUAGGAAGAUAUAUGGAAAUACUACUACUAUAUCUAUUAUGCCAUCAAAUGCAAAGUAUGCAUGGAACAUCAUCUAGCAACAAUCUACUAUCAUGCUAAUAUGCCUCAACAGUGAAAUAAAUACAACAACAACAUAGUUAUGCAAUGCACUAUGUCUAAUCAAGGUAUGAAUGCAAUACUCUUAUGCUAUUCAUGUUAUUACCCAAUCCGCUAGGCUAACUUGCCUAAGAUCUCAAAUCUAGUAGGUGAAGAGCUACCUCACUCUUGUCUCACUCGACUCAUAUCUCAAAGGUCUGACCCAAUCUCGUGAGUCCCAGGCAAAGAGCUACCCCGCCCCUCGCCCGACUCACAUCUCAAGGUCCUAGACAAAGGCUACCCCGCACUUUGCCCGACUCACAUCUCGACCUACUAAGUACAGGGCUACUCCACUCAAAUCUCAUAGGUGAACAACAGCAACAACUAUGAAAGCAAGCUAUCAUGAACAACAAUAAUGAGUAUGACUCAAUAGGUACUCAAAUCUCAUAGGUGAAGGAAUAGUAUAUCAUGAAGGCAUGAGCAAUAAGUAAGCUACUAUGAACACUAGUAAGCUACUAUGAACAACAACAACAACUAUGGAAGCAAGCUAUCAUGAACAACAAUAAUGAGUAUGACUCAAUAGGUAACCAAAUCUCGUGGUGAACACAAGGUUCACAAGCAAGGCUCACAUAUCAAUCUCCUAGAGAUGCCUAGCUGGUCGAUCCCCGAGUACGCCUGCGGAUAACAAGCGGCUAUCCGAGCAGCAAGCAGGGCUGCCUCUCUAGUGACCAAACUCCGGAGCGCACAACCUGAGGGGAGCGACCCCACCAAGCGCAGACAGGCAAUGUGAGCGUGAUCAUCUCACGAGCAACAGCAACCUACCCUCUAAGGGUAAUCUCAUCAUGGAAUCAAGGUGUUCUUGUACCCAAUCUCAUAGUGUUUCAACUACACUAAGGUUCUCAUGUCAAGGUUAUCAACAAUCAUAUGCCACUCAUCAUAGUUUUCUAAACUAGAUGCCACUCGACAUUUAGACUCAUUUCAACACUAGUUACAUCAUACUAGUUCUUUAGCAACAUAAGCAUUAAUCACCUCACAUAGGGUCUAGGUCUUUAUCAUAAAGUUUUCAUCAUAUAAUCAUCAUGCAUACUAGAUCAUGGAUCAAUCAUCAAGAUGUAUAGCUACUAGCAUGCAAAUAUGAGCAAUGACCACAAUCAUUUAGCAUCUAAAUGCAAUAAAUACGAUAUGCAACUUGAUCGAUUAAUGUACUCAACUAAGGUUUAAUCUACAUUAAUCAUGCCCUUAUAGGGUUUCACCACACUAAGUCCCAAUCUCAUGCAUACUAGGUACAAGUAUUAAUCAAGUAACACUACA